rnacentral:rRNA from 1 species
AGUGAACGCUGGCGGUAGGCCUAACACAUGCAAGUCGAACGGCAGCACAGUAAGAGCUUGCUCUUACGGGUGGCGAGUGGCGGACGGGUGAGGAAUACAUCGGAAUCUACUUUUUCGUGGGGGAUAACGUAGGGAAACUUACGCUAAUACCGCAUACGACCUACGGGUGAAAGCAGGGGAUCUUCGGACCUUGCGCGAUUGAAUGAGCCGAUGUCGGAUUAGCUAGUUGGCGGGGUAAAGGCCCACCAAGGCGACGAUCCGUAGCUGGUCUGAGAGGAUGAUCGGCGACACUGGAACUGAGACACGGUCCAGACUCCUACGGGAGGCAGCAGUGGGGAAUAUUGGACAAUGGGCGCAAGCCUGAUCCAGCCAUACCGCGUGGGUGAAGAAGGCCUUCGGGUUGUAAAGCCGUUUUGUUGGGAAAGAAAAGCAGCAGGUUAAUACCCCGCUGUUCUGACGGUACCCAAAGAAUAAGCACCGGCUAACUUCGUG